rnacentral:tRNA from 1 species
AGUCCCGGGGUGUAGCGCAUACAUAUUGAAGUGCAAAUUCAGAGAGACACCCCAGCGAGGUGUCGGGGCUU